rnacentral:misc_RNA from 1 species
GAUGAAGAACGCAGUGAAAUGCGAUACUUGGUGUGAAUUGCAGAAUCCCGUGAACCAUCGAGUCUUUGAACGCAAGUUGCGCCCGAAGCCAUUAGGCCGAGGGCACGCCUGCCUGGGCGUCACACGUCGUUGCCCCCCCAUCUACUCCUUCGGGAUUGCGGGGGGCGGAUGAUGGCCUCCCGUGCGCCACGCCGCGCGGUUGGCAUAAAUGCCAAGUCCUCGGCGACGCACGCCACGACAAUCGGUGGUUGCGAAACCUCGGUUGCCCGUCGUGUGCGGUCGUCGCGCAUCGAGGGCUCGAAAAAAUUGCCGGGUUCCGGCUCGGCUUUCAACGCGACCCCUGGUCAGGCGGGGUUACCCGCUGAAUUUAAGCAUAUCAAUAAGCGGAGGA